CCCGCUGAACUUAAGCAUAUCAAUAAGCGGAGGAAAAGAAACCAACAGGGAUUGCCCCAGUAACGGCGAGUGAAGCGGCAACAGCUCAAAUUUGAAAUCUGGCCCCUCCGGGUCCGAGUUGUAAUUUGUAGAGGAUGCUUUUGGUGAGGUGCCGCCCGAGUUCCCUGGAACGGGACGCCACAGAGGGUGAGAGCCCCGUCUGGCUGGCCACCGAGCCUCUGUAAAGCUCCUUCGACGAGUCGAGUAGUUUGGGAAUGCUGCUCAAAAUGGGAGGUAUAUGUCUUCUAAAGCUAAAUAUUGGCCAGAGACCGAUAGCGCACAAGUAGAGUGAUCGAAAGAUGAAAAGCACCUUGAAGAGAGGGUUAAACAGUACGUGAAAUUGUUGAAAGGGAAGCGCUUGUGACCAGACUUGGGCGCGGCGGAUCAUCCGGGGUUCUCUCCGGUGCACUUCGCCGCGUUCAGGCCAGCAUCAGUUCGUCGCGGGGGAAAAAGGCUUCGGGAACGUGGCUCCUCCGGGAGUGUUAUAGCCCGUUGCAUAAUACCCUGCGGUGGACUGAGGACCGCGCAUCUGCAAGGAUGCUGGCGUAAUGGUCACCAGCGACCCGUCUUGAAACACGG
rnacentral:rRNA from 1 species